rnacentral:rRNA from 1 species
AGCAGUAGCCGCGGUAAAACGUAGGGCGCAAGCGUUGUCCGGAAUUAUUGGGCGUAAAGAGCUCGUAGGCGGUCUGUCGCGUCUGGUGUGAAAUCCCGAGGCUCAACCUCGGGCUUGCAUCGGGUACGGGCAGACUAGAGUGCGGUAGGGGAGACUGGAAUUCCUGGUGUAGCGGUGGAAUGCGCAGAUAUCAGGAGGAACACCGAUGGCGAAGGCAGGUCUCUGGGCCGCAACUGACGCUGAGGAGCGAAAGCAUGGGGAGCGAACAGGAUUAGAUACCCCUGUAGUCCCUGUCUCUUAUAA